GACGAACGCUGGCGGCGUGCUUAACACAUGCAAGUCGAACGGAAAGGCCCUGCUUUUGUGGGGUGCUCGAGUGGCGAACGGGUGAGUAACACGUGAGUAACCUGCCCUUGACUUUGGGAUAACUUCAGGAAACUGGGGCUAAUACCGGAUAGGAGCUCCUGCUGCAUGGUGGGGGUUGGAAAGUUUCGGCGGUUGGGGAUGGACUCGCGGCUUAUCAGCUUGUUGGUGGGGCAGUGGCUUACCAAGGCUUUGACGGGUAGCCGGCCUGAGAGGGUGACCGGCCACAUUGGGACUGAGAUACGGCCCAGACUCCUACGGGAGGCAGCAGUGGGGAAUAUUGCACAAUGGGCGGGAGCCUGAUGCAGCAACGCCGCGUGCGGGAUGACGGCCUUCGGGUUGUAAACCGCUUUCGCCUGUGACGAAGCGUGAGUGACGGUAAUGGGUAAGAAGCACCGGCUAACUACGUG
rnacentral:rRNA from 1 species